AAGUUCGAAUUGCGAGAGUGGAGAUGAGGAUAACGAGAUUGUUAAAGACAAGGGGCAAGAAAUCCUGAUUUUCGCCUGUGCUGUUGUUCUAUGAAGCUCCUUAGAUGCAGCUCUUCAUAAUUUCUGGGUAACCUGCACAAGAGCUAAGCGAAACGCAUCUCUAAAAGUGAGAUCAAUUUCUUCCUGCUUUCAAUGGCAUUAUUGCAGCUUUGGUUGACAUUGCUAUCCUUUUCGAAGCUUAUACAUGGACCAUAGUCUUCAAGAUGAGGUAGUCAAUGGAAAAGAUGAUGGUAAUGGCCUAAUGGGUAUGGUUCUUAGCCACCACAGGUGUUUAGUUGGUGAAAAGAUAGCUUGAAGGGGAAGAAGAUUGGAGCAUGUUUUUAGCUGAAUAUAUAAUUGUAAAUAGAGGUGGAUGAUGGGUAGUUCCCUGAAGAUUCUGAUGCAGGAAAUGAUGUGAACAUGUUCUGAGGUUAUUGCCCAAGGGGCCAAACUUGGUUAGUAGGACAAAAGAAUGAUGUGUUAGCUUUUGGAAACUUUAGAGUUUGGACGUAUGUUUGAUUAAUUACUUGCUUUUCAACACAUUUGUAGAUUGUAGUGCUAUAUUGUAUUUUAAGCUCAAUUUGAUAGUUGAUUUACUGCCCACAUUUCUAAA